rnacentral:rRNA from 1 species
GACGAACGCUGGCGGCGUGCUUAACACAUGCAAGUCGAACGAAAAGACCCUGCUUUUGUGGGGUGCUCGAGUGGCGAACGGGUGAGUAACACGUGAGUAACCUGCCCUUGACUUUGGGAUAACUUCAGGAAACUGGGGCUAAUACCGGAUAGGAGCUCCUGCUGCAUGGUGGGGGUUGGAAAGUUUCGGCGGUUGGGGAUGGACUCGCGGCUUAUCAGCUUGUUGGUGGGGUAGUGGCUUACCAAGGCUUUGACGGGUAGCCGGCCUGAGAGGGUGACCGGCCACAUUGGGACUGAGAUACGGCCCAGACUCCUACGGGAGGCAGCAGUGGGGAAUAUUGCACAAUGGGCGGAAGCCUGAUGCAGCAACGCCGCGUGCGGGAUGACGGCCUUCGGGUUGUAAACCGCUUUCGCCUGUGACGAAGCGUGAGUGACGGUAAUGGGUAAAGAAGCACCGGCUAACUACGUG